GAUGAACGCUCGCGGGAGGCCUAACACAUGCAAGCCGAGCGGUAGAGUUUCUUCGGAAACUUGAGAGCGGCGCACGGGUGCGUAACACGUGUGCAACCUACCUUUAUCUGGGGGAUAGCCUUUCGAAAGGAAGAUUAAUACCCCAUAAUAUAAUGAUUGGCAUCAAUUAUUAUUGAAAACUCCGGUGGAUAGAGAUGGGCACGCGCAAGAUUAGAUAGUUGGUGAGGUAACGGCUCACCAAGUCAAUGAUCUUUAGGGGUCCUGAGAGGGAGAUCCCCCACACUGGUACUGAGACACGGACCAGACGCCUACGGGAGGCAGCAGUGAGGAAUAUUGGACAAUGGGUGAGAGCCUGAUCCAGCCAUCCCGCGUGAAGGAUGACGGUCCUAUGGAUUGUAAACUUCUUUUGUACAGGGAUAAACCUACCCUCGUGAGGGUAGCUGAAGGUACUGUACGAAUAAGCACCGGCUAACUCCGUG
rnacentral:rRNA from 1 species